UUAAACCCUGCAGGAGAAGCAGAGAGGCUGAGGGCAGCGCUGGGAGAACCUGCCUGGCCACCCAGAAAACUGCCCAAAUGCCAGGCAUGCCGCUGCCUUCUGGAGCGUGUGCUAGAAGGAAUGUUCUGGAAGCACUCACGCAGGAUCCAAGAAGCAGGCUUCAGCAGGCUGGUCCCCAGUGACAGGACCAAGAUGAAGCUGGCCCUGCAAGGACACCUCCCAUUGGCUGUUACAUCACAGCUCAUCACCAUCAUCUCCCCACUCCAAUUCUCAGCUGAUGACUCGGCCUUGUACUUCAGAGCAUGUGGGUUCAGAAAACACCCCAUCACCAACUAACUCCGAAUCCACCACCCACCUGAGCCUGCCGCACUCAGCCGCAUCUCUGACUACUGGCCUGCCUAUGUAAGUCUGACUCCUUCAGACCUAUUCACCAAAGGACUUUGGUUUUGAAUUCCCACUCCCUCCUGAGUCACUCCCACUGAGAUAAAUCUUCCAUCACCCACCUCCAUCUCCUUCCUUGACGCCAUGCCACCCCUACUCACUACCACCCUUCACAAGACGCCCUGAAGAGCUGUCCACCCACCACGCCUCUCUCUCUCUCCACCCCUCCCCAAGGCCAUGGGUAACACCAGGCUGCCACCUAACACAGAUAACUCCUUGUCCCUAUUCUACAACCACCCCCCCAAGGAACAUGUCCCUUCAGCCCCACGUGACACCGCGCUCUGCUGGUUUCCCUCUUGCCACUCCAGCUGCUGCUUCUCAGUCUCCUUUGCGAGAGCCGCCGCCUCCUCGUCCCCAUCUGAGUGCCAGGCUUAGUCUGAACUCUUCACCCCCAUCCUCGCCCCUGGUUCUCACCUCCCCUCCAUAAACCAGCAUCUUCCAACCUGCUCUCUUCUGUCCUGACCUUUCCCCUCAGUGGCAGAAGUACAAGCAUGUCAAACUGAACAUGUUCAAAGCAAAACUUGCUGCCUCCAAAUGGCUCACCUCCUAGGCACCUUCUCUGUAAACAGUGCCACCCUCCACCUCGCUGCUGAAGCCAAUAGACUAGGAGCCCAUCCUUGACUUUUCUCACAUCCAAAAUCUGAUCAGUCCCCAAAUCGAAUCCAUCCAUCAAGUCAAUCUUGCCAACUGUCACCUCCCAAAGCCAUCCUCAGUCUACCUCUCCCAGCCCCCAACAACCCCAGCCCCCAUCUCCCUCCACCCACAAUCCACUCCUCUCAACAGCAGCCAGAACCCUCCCAUAGAAAAGAUGCCCAAAUGUGAAAACCACCCAGACUCUUCCCCGCUGCCAAGUCCAGCACCCCCUCCCCACCUUGGGCUCACUGCUGCCCUUCCGCGGGGCCUUCGGACUUACCUACCCACCAGCCCGGACGCCUCCUCCCAGACUCUCCCAGGGCUGCCCCAACCCUACUUCCCACCCCGGCUGCUGCUCCGUUUUUCUCCCCGGUGCUUCUCUUCAUGACCAUUUUUUUUUUUACAAACCUCUGUCUCUGUCUCACCAGAGAUGUAAGCUUACAGACAGGAAUUCUGUCUCUCCUUGCUGUAGUCUAAGUCCCAGAACGGGGGGCUGGCACUUCUCAGGGGCUCAGCUGAUUGCUGCAUUAAGUCCUGAAUUAACGGAUGGAGGGCAAGGGGAAAGGGAGGCAGGGGACAAUGGUCUGAGUGGUGCUAAGAGGACUCUACUCAGCCGGGCUGUGCUGUCGCGAGGCAGAGGACUUCCUCCUGAACCGCAGGGUGUGGCCUGGGCUCCCCCACCCACCCUGAGGCGCUCUACCAGGUUCACAUCGAGUGGACCCUUCCAACCCAAUGUCACCU